rnacentral:rRNA from 1 species
CCUACGGGGCGCUGCAGUCGAGAAUCAUUCACAAUGGGGGAAACCCUGAUGGUGCGACGCCGCGUGGGGGAAUGAAGGUCUUCGGAUUGUAAACCCCUGUCAUGUGGGAGCAAAUUAAAAAGAUAGUACCACAAGAGGAAGAGACGGCUCACUCUGUGCCAGCAGCCGCGGUAAUACAGAGGUCUCAAGCGUUGUUCGGAAUCACUGGGCGUAAGGCGUGCGUAGGCUGUUUCGUAAGUCGUGUGUGAAUGGCGCGGGCUCAACCCGCGGACGGCACAUGAUACUGCGAAACUAGAGUAAUAGAGAGGGAACCGGAAUUCUCGGUGUAGCAGUGAAAUGCGUAGAUAUAGGGAGGAACACUCGUGGCGAAGGCAGGUUCCUGGACAUUAACUGACGCUGAGGGACGAAGGCCAGGGGAGCGAAAGGGAUUAGAUACCCCUGUAGUC